rnacentral:rRNA from 1 species
CCUACGGGUGGCAGCAGUGAGGAAUAUUGGUCAAUGGACGAGAGUCUGAACCAGCCAAGUAGCGUGAAGGAUGACUGCCCUAUGGGUUGUAAACUUCUUUUAUAAAGGAAUAAAACGCGGCACGUGUGCCUUUUUGCAUGUCCUUUAUGAAUAAGGCUCGGCUAACUCCGUGCCAGCAGCCGCGGUAAUACGGAGGAUCCGAGCGUUAUCCGGAUUUAUUGGGUUUAAAGGGAGCGUAGAUGGGGUGUUAAGUCAGUUGUGAAAGGUUGCGGCUCAACCGUAAAAUUGCAAUUGAUACUGGCAGUCUUGAGUACAGUUGAGGUAGGCGGAAUUCGUGGUGUAGCGGUGAAAUGCGUAGAUAUCACGAAGAACCCCGAUUGCGAAGGCAGCUUACUAAACUGUGACUGACAUUGAUGCUCGAAAGUGUGGGUAUCAAACAGGAUUAGAUACCCUUGUAGUC